UAGGGAAUCUUCCGCAAUGGACGCAAGUCUGACGGAGCAACGCCGCGUGAGUAAAGAAGGAUUUCGGUUCGUAAAACUCUGUUGUUAGAGAAGAACAGCGCAUAGAGUAACUGUUAUGCGUGUGACGGUAUCUAACCAGAAAGCCACGGCUAACUACGUGCCAGCAGCCGCGGUAAUACGUAGGUGGCAAGCGUUGUCCGGAUUUAUUGGGCGUAAAGCGAGCGCAGGCGGUCAAUUAAGUCUGAUGUGAAAGCCCCCGGCUCAACCGGGGAGGGUCAUUGGAAACUGGUUGACUUGAGUGCAGAAGAGGAGAGUGGAAUUCCAUGUGUAGCGGUGAAAUGCGUAGAUAUAUGGAGGAACACCAGUGGCGAAGGCGACUCUCUGGUCUGUAACUGACGCUGAGGCUCGAAAGCGUGGGUAGCAAACAGG
rnacentral:rRNA from 1 species